rnacentral:rRNA from 1 species
UACAGAGGGUGCGAGCGUUAAUCGGAGUUACUGGGUGUAAAGGGCGCGUAGGCGGUAAGAUAAGUGUGAUGUGAAAGCCCCGGGCUUAACCUGGGAAGGGCAUUGCAAACGAUCGAACUAGAGUAUAUGAGAGGGUGGCGGAAUUUCCGGUGUAGCGGUGAAAUGCGUAGAGAUCGGAAGGAACGUCAAUGGCGAAGGCAGCCACCUGGCAUAAUACUGACGCUGAGGCGCGAAAGCGUGGGUAGCGAACAGG